UUGUUAAUUAAAUCACAAUUUAUAUUUAGUUUAAAGAUAAUAAUUCAUGCAUUCAUUCAUUUUCUGGUGCCCGCUUGCUUCAGUUAAGGGUCAUGGGGCUAUCAUAGGGUGAAAGGCAGAGUACACCCUGGGACAGGAUGCCAUUGAAAUGCUGUAUUUACUGUGAAUUCUUCAUGAACAUACCAUGAAUCAUCAUGAGCCUGUUUUGAAUGAGCUAUAUAAACAUAUCGCAAAGAAAAACGUUAAGACUUGUUUAUU